rnacentral:rRNA from 1 species
UACGUAGGGGGCAAGCGUUGUCCGGAAUUAUUGGGCGUAAAGAGCGUGUAGGCGGUCCGGUAAGUCAGCUGUGAAAGUCAAGGGCUCAACCCUUGAAUGCCGGUUGAUACUGUCGGGCUAGAGUCCGGAAGAGGCGAGUGGAAUUCCCGGUGUAGCGGUGAAAUGCGCAGAUAUCGGGAGGAACACCAAUGGCGAAGGCGGCUCGCUGGGCUUGGUCUGACGCUGAGGCGCGAAAGCGUGGGGAGCGAACAGG